rnacentral:misc_RNA from 1 species
UCUCCGUUGGUGAACCAGCGGAGGGAUCAUUACCGAAGUUACCUUCAAAACCCACUGUGAACCUUACCUCUUGCCGCGUUGUCUCGGCGGGAGGCGGUGUGCGUCGCGCGCCCUAGCGGGCCGCGCCGCUCCCGUCCCCGCCGGCAGCGCCAAACUCUAAAUGCACAGCGGACUGUACGUUCUGAUUUGCAAAAAAAACAAGUUAAAACUUUCAACAACGGAUCUCUUGGUUCUG